UACGAAGGGGGCUAGCGUUGCUCGGAAUCACUGGGCGUAAAGGGUGCGUAGGCGGGUCUUUAAGUCAGGGGUGAAAUCCUGGAGCUCAACUCCAGAACUGCCUUUGAUACUGAGGAUCUUGAGUUCGGGAGAGGUGAGUGGAACUGCGAGUGUAGAGGUGAAAUUCGUAGAUAUUCGCAAGAACACCAGUGGCGAAGGCGGCUCACUGGCCCGGUACUGACGCU
rnacentral:rRNA from 1 species